rnacentral:lncRNA from 1 species
AUAUUCACCUAAAACCUGAAAUCCUUAGGAUUCCCAUUGGUCUUUCCUGUCUCUUGAAAUUCUGCAACAUUUCUAGUGACCACGAAGGGACUGGAGAUGACAGAGUUGUUGUCUCCUUUGCAGGAAUCCUGAGACCUCUAGUGCCACCGAGUGAGACUUCAGCUUGGAGAGGAAUUAGGCCCUCCUGCAGCCCUCCCCCAACCCCAGCCAGCACAAUGGAACUUGUUGGGGUUCAGGAUGAUUCUGGAACAACAGCAUGCCACAAGAUUGUGCUGUGCAGGCUGUGGCAGGGCCUGAGAUAAAAGCAAGCCUGGAGGAAGGAGCUGAGGUGAUGGGUGGAGCAACAAAGGCGGCAGAGGUUCAGCCGUGACAGGCAUUCAAAGUGGCAUGCUGAGAGUUUUCAGGACCUGAGCAUAAGGAUCACAUGCCAGGCUAGAGCCCCAAUACAGGUGGCUGCAAACUGUGUGCUCCUUGGGGAAAAACAAAAAACACAGGCCAGCAUGAGGUCGCCUUCUCCUGGCUUCAGGAGCUCCAAGAUUAGCAUUUGCUCCCCUUCACCACCCUAACAUUGGCUGUAGGCAUCUGGAAGCUGGAAGAGCCCCAGCCUGGGGCUGCAUGGCCAAAGUCCAGGAGCUGCUUCUGUGUCUUGCCAGCUUAGGAAAAUUUUACAGGAGAAAAUCAGAUUACAAACUAGCUAAUUGGUAAAUGUACUUUUGAUUUCCAAUUUAAAUUAGUGUUUUUGUUUAAUUGGUGUGCUUAAAACAUUUCUUGUACAUUGCAAUUUUUCGAACUGUAAGUAUAGGGUUAACUUGCUCUUUGCUCUGCUCUCUGAUGGUUUAAGAUAAGAACACUGAUUCAAAAUAGCUUAAAAGCGCUAUUGACAGCCAGUCAAGUUAAAAAGUAGUAAUCUAAAACAGAAAAAAGGACCCUUUAAAUUCAAGCAGCUAAAGUUAAGUUUGCUAUAAAAAGUUUAUAAUAAAUGGGAUGGAGAAAAAUAUAUUAAGAAGACUAUAAGAAUAAGAUAUACUUUUGAUAUGAGAGGAUUUUGUGUAU